CUACGGGAGGCAGCAGGCGCGAAACCUUUUCAAUGCACGAAAGUGUGAGAAGGGAAUUCCAAGUGCUCAAGUUUUACUUGGGCUUUUGCCAAGUGUAAAUAGCUUGGCGAAUAAGGGGUGGGUAAGACUGGUGCCAGCCGCCGCGGUAACACCAGCGCCUCAAGUGGGGAUCGCGAUUAUUGGGUCUAAAGCGUCCGUAGCAGGCCUUGUAAAUGCUUUGUGAAAUCGGCAGGCAUAACCUGUCGGCGUGCAGAGUAGACUGCAGAGCUCGAGACCGGGAGAGGUCAGAAGUAUUCCUAGGGUACCGGUAAAAUGGGUUAAUCCUGGGAGGACUACCGAUGGCGAAGGCAUCUGACCAGAACGGUUCUGACUGUGAGGGACGAAAGCUAGGGGAGCAAAACGGAUUAGAUACCCUUGUAGUC
rnacentral:rRNA from 1 species